rnacentral:rRNA from 1 species
UACGUAGCAGCGAGCGUUGUUCGGAGUUACUGGGCGUAAAGGGUGUGUAGGCGGUUGUUUAAGUUUGGUGUGAAAUCUCCCGGCUCAACUGGGAGGGUGCGCCGAAUACUGAAUGACUCGAGUGUGGGAGAGGUGAGUGGAAUUCCUGGUGUAGCGGUGAAAUGCGUAGAUAUCAGGAGGAACACCGGUGGUGUAGACGGCUCACUGGACCAUAACUGACGCUGAGACACGAAAGCGUGGGUAGCAAACAGG